rnacentral:rRNA from 1 species
UACGUAGGUGGCGAGCGUUGUCCGGAUUUAUUGGGUUUAAAGGGUGCGUAGGCGGCCUUAUAAGUCAGUGCUGAAAUAUCCCGGCUUAACCGGGAGGGUGGCAUUGAUACUGUAGGGCUUGAGUGAAGUCGAAGUAGGCGGAAUUGACGGUGUAGCGGUGAAACGCUUAGAUAUCGUCAAGAACACCGAUAGUGAAGACAGCUUACUAGGCUUUAACUGACGCUGAGGCACGAAAGUGUGGGGAUCAAACAGG